rnacentral:lncRNA from 1 species
UUGCACAACCACCUAGUCCAAGAAGUGCUCAAGCGUCGAGGGCUUAUUUAAAUUAGGAAAUUAUUGUUAUUUUUUAUUUUAUUAUCGUAUUUUAAUUAUGUUUUUAAUUUUAUUUUAAUUAUUGUAAUGUUUAAUUUUAUUUUCAAUGAAAUUGAGAAUUUAAAAAUAAAAGUGUAGAAAUAUGAAUUUUGUGGAAAUGGAGAUCUAAGACACCCUUUAAGACACGAUGCACUGGAG